UGCAAAUGGAUCACUGCACAGCUGACAGGCUUCAGAGGGAUGCAACUUCUAGUGUUUUGCAAAAGCUUUCAUACAUCUUGGACGUUUUUCAACUUUUGUAACGUUACAACCUCAAACGUCAAUGGGUUUCUGUUUCAUUCCUUCCUGACUGCGAGUGGCAGUAAACAAAGUGGAUAUGUCUCCUCGCGCUCCGCGCAGGUCGAGAUUAAAUGUAAACAAAGUCACGCACGUGACACGUAGCCCACCUGGGCGUGCUGUCUAUAAGUAGCACGUGGAAGGCUACGUUCGGUCUCUUUGAUCUUCUCGCUGUUGACCGUCGCGUGUUUCGCAGGUUGGUCGCUCCUAUAAGUCCGUGUUUCGGCGCUUAUUGGGUAUUGCAGGUCUAAGAGAGUAGCCGGAAGCUUGAUGCUGGCGCUUCUUUUCCCCUGUUGAGACCGGGUGGGGAGGAGCGGACAGCUGCAGUUUUCAGAAACCUCGUUCAUGAAUUUUUCGU